CUAUUGUGUCUCCCCUGGGGACACAAGGUGAAUUGGUCAAACGCCCACAGAACUUCCCAGAACUUUUGUUCUCUGUUACCCUUCAGCAGGGGCUUGUGCCUGCCCAUGAGAUUAUCGCGCAGAAGAAGACUUUAUGGCCACCGUGUCUACUUGAGCAUUGUGUAGAAUUUGAACCCAGGCCCGAGGUGCCUCCAGAGAUGGCCCUGGAAGACCCCAGUGAAGAGGUGUGGUCCUGUGAGCAUCCUCUCGGGCAAUCUUGGUUGCCCCAGGACCUCUUGGCCUGUUAUAGCACACAGAACCACCCCAUGGAUGACUUCCUGAUGGAUGAUGAUUGUCCUGAUAUCUUGGCUCCGAUGGCAUUGUGCAGCCUCAGCAGGUCACACAGAUACUAAAACCAUGCAAAUCCUACAUGUCAAUGAGGGGAGAGGCGAAGGGGAAAUUGUAAAACAAAAGGGAGCAGAGGUUAUCACUGGUAGAAACACAGAGUGAGAGAAGGCUGCAUGCUAUUUAAUGCAAAGGAAAAGUGGAAGAAAUAGUCACCGGAGCAGAGUUAACACCAGAGCCCACUCUCUAAGCAGAGAGCUCAGGAAAGCCAUCUAAAUUCUGAUGGGAAACAUCCUUACCUCAAUAUAAAACACCUAAUAGAGCUGGGACAAAUAAGGUUCUUGACAAAUAGAUGUUACUUGUAGUAGGAGCAGGGGUUUGGUAACAUCGUCAUCAUCAUCAUCAUCCCCCAUCACAGAGGACAAGAGUUCAUGAAGAUCAUCUCUUCUCUGAAGGCUGGGGUCAGGAAGAGCCUAUCUGCUCCAGUGACAGUGAGAGAGGAGCCUGGCCACAGCAGAGGCCAGGCCUGGCAGUUUCCAUGUGGAGGUUGGAAGAAUUUGAACAUCAAACUGAGCCUUCAUCUACAGUCACUGGGGUGACAUUGGGCAUUGUUGAGAGAACAAACAUUGUGAUUAAAAAUGACACAAAGGGAGCCCUGUAGUGAUAGACGAUUGUGAGUGUUUAAAUGAAGAAGGGGAGGGGUCAAGAAGACUAAUCGGAAAAAAAAAUGAAGUGCUACGUCCUGAUGACAACUUUGUUUUGUUUUGUUCAAAUUGCUUUUAUUACUUAUCAAUGGCAGUUUCUUAUAAAAUUUGAGAUGACAUUCACAAUUCAGUGGCCUUUAAUACAUUCAUAAUGUUGUUCGACUACCACCUCUAUCUAGUUCAAAACAUUGUCA
rnacentral:lncRNA from 1 species